rnacentral:rRNA from 1 species
CGAAUGCGAGGUCUUCGGACCCUGCAUGGCAGACGGCUGAGUUACGCGUAGGUACUUACCCCUGACAUGAGGAUAACUCCCGGAAACGGGAAGUAAUACUCAAUAGUUUCUUCGGAAUAAAGCUCCGGCGGUCAGGGAUAGGCCUGCGUCCUAUCAGAUUGUUGGUAAGGUAAUGGCUUACCAAGUCUAUGACGGGUAGGGGGCCUGAGAGGGCGUACCCCCAGACUGGGACUGUGACACGGCCCAG